rnacentral:rRNA from 1 species
UACGGGGGGGGCAAGCGUUGUUCGGAAUUACUGGGCGUAAAGGGCUCGUAGGCGGCCAACUAAGUCGGAUGUGAAAUCCCCAGGCUCAACCUGGGAACUGCAUCCGAUACUGGAUGGCUUGAAUUCGGGAGAGGGAUGCAGAAUUCCAGGUGUAGCGGUGAAAUGCGUAGAUAUCUGGAGGAAUACCGGUGGCGAAGGCGGCUCUCUGGACGGUGACUGACGCUGAGACGCGAAAGCGUGGGGAGCAAACAGG